AUUGAACGCUGGCGGCAGGCCUAACACAUGCAAGUCGAGCGAGCGGCGGACGGGUGCGUAAUGUAUGGGGACUGCCCGAUAGAGGUGGAUAACUACUGGAAACGGUAGCUAAUACCGCAUACUAUCGGAUAACCCAUAUGGGAUUAGCUAGUAGGUGAGGUAAUGGCUCACCUAGGCGACCAUACCUAGCUGGUCUGAGAGGCUGAUCAGCCACACUGUGACUGAGACAUGGCCCAGACUCCUACGGAGGCAGCAGUGGGGAAUAUUGCACAAGGGGCGCAAGCCUGAUGCAGCCAUGCCGCGUGUAUGAAGAAGGCCAUAGGGUUGUAAAGUACUUUCAGUCGGGAGGCGUUACCGACAGAAGAAGCACCGGCUAACUCCGUGCCAGCAGCCGCGGUAAUUC
rnacentral:rRNA from 1 species